UGGCGCAGGGCGUCAGCGUGGCGCGCGCCCGCCUGGCGGAACGCCGAGACGGCCGCGUGCGCACACUGCGCCGCCACCUUGCCC
rnacentral:pre_miRNA from 1 species